rnacentral:rRNA from 1 species
GUCUUGUAAUUGGAAUGAGUACAAUUUAAAUACCUUAACGAGGAACAAUUGGAGGGCAAGUCUGGUGCCAGCAGCCGCGGUAAUUCCAGCUCCAAUAGCGUAUAUUAAAGUUGUUGCAGUUAAAAAGCUCGUAGUUGAACCUUGGGCCUGGCUGGCCGGUCUGCCUCACCGCAUGUACUGGUUCGGCCGGGUCUUUCCUCCUGGGGAUCCGCAUGCCCUUCACUGGGUGUGUUGGGGAACCAGGACUUUUACUUUGAAAAAAUUAGAGUGUUCAAAGCAGGCCUUUGCUCGAAUACAUUAGCAUGGAAUAAUAGAAUAGGACGUGCGGUCCUAUUUUGUUGGUUUCUAGGACCGCCGUAAUGAUUAAUAGGGAUAGUCGGGGGCAUCAGUAUUCAGUUGUCAGAGGUGAAAUUCUUGGAUUUACUGAAGACUAACUACUGCGAAAGCAUUUGCCAAGGAUGUUUUCAUUAAUCAGUGAACG